CAGGAUGAACGCUGGCGGCGUGCUUAACACAUGCAAGUCGAACGGGAAGCGGCGCCUAUUACUUCGGUGAUUUGGCGCCGUGGAGAGUGGCGAACGGGUGCGUAACACGUAGGUAACCUGCCCUGAAAGGGGGGAUAACCACGGGAAACUGUGGCUAAUACCGCAUAAUCUCGCCGAGACGGUGGUUUCGGUGAGGAAAGCUGAGGCGAUUUGGGAGGGGCCUGCGGUCGAUUAGCUUGUUGGUGGGGUAAUGGCCUACCAAGCCGACGACGGGUAGCUGGUCUGAGAGGACGAUCAGCCAGAGGGGGACUGAGACACGGCCCCCACUCCUACGGGAGGCAGCAGCAGGGGAUCUUGGGCAAUGGGCGAAAGCCUGACCCAGCGACGCCGCGUGGGGGACGAAGGCCCUUGGGUCGUAAACCCCUUUUCCAAGGGACGAUAAUGACGGUACCUUGGGAAUAAGCCCCGGCUAACUACGUGCCAGCAGCCGCGGUAAAACGUAGGGGGCAAGCGUUACCCGGAAUUACUGGGCGUAAAGGGCAUGUAGGCGGCUCGGUCCGUCGUCGGUGAAAGGCCCCGGCUUUAACCGGGG
rnacentral:rRNA from 1 species